ensembl:lncRNA novel transcript
AUUGAGCUAAACUUGGGAUGCUAGAAAAGACAAUCCCUUUUCUGGAUUAGGAAGUUUACAUUUUAAAGAUGCAAGAAGGCACUAAACAAGGGCAGUGAGGUACAACAAGCUCUGUGGUUUUAUUUCUCCUAAAUGGGAGGAAACAUAGAGAGGAAGAAAAGUAUGCAAUCUCAGUUGCAAAUGGAGGCAGGGGCUCACCAUGUUCUCUGAUACGAUUGUACCGCCCAUUGGUAAGAAUCAGAGGCUGAAAAGAUUCUGUUACUGAAACUCAACACUUAGUUGAUACCUGCUACAACUUUAACUACUCGUUGACUGUUUACGGCUUUUGCUGUAAGUUGGAGUAUGGUGACAAACACACAAAAAAUUGUCAACCGCAGAUGUAGCCAUGAAGUAUUAUGAGCGAGUAAUAGCAAGGGCUUUGCUGUCCUCUCUCUCCACUGUUGUUUCAAACAAACACAAAAUCAACAGCAUAUGCAAUCUCAAUAAAAUAACAUAGAGAUGUGA